rnacentral:rRNA from 1 species
GACGAACGCUGGCGGCGUGCCUAAUACAUGCAAGUCGAACGAACCGCGACUAGGUGCUUGCACUUGGUCAAGGUGAGUGGCGAACGGGUGAGUAACACGUGGGUAACCUACCUCAUAGUGGGGGAUAACAGUCGGAAACGACUGCUAAUACCGCAUAGGACAUAGGAUCACAUGAUUCUGUGAGGAAAGGUGGCGCAAGCUAUCGCUAAGAGAUGGACCCGCGGUGCAUUAGCUAGUUGGUAGGGUAAAGGCCUACCAAGGCGAUGAUGCAUAGCCGACCGGAGGGGGUGACGGGCCACAUGGGGAGUGAGCCACGGCCAAACCCCCACGGGGGGGCAGAAGUGGGGAAUCUCCCGAAAUGGAGGAAAGUCUAACGGAGCAACGCCGGGGGAGUAAAGAAGGUCUUGGGAUGGAAAAGCUUUGUUGUUAGAGAAAAACAGGGAAAAGAGUAACGGUUAUGGGUGGGGCGGUAUCAAACCAAAAAGCCACGGCUAACUACGU